rnacentral:rRNA from 1 species
AUUGAACGCUGGCGGCAGGCCUAACACAUGCAAGUCGAACGAGUGGCGGACGGGUGAGUAAUGUCUGGGAAACUGCCUGAUGGAGGGGGAUAACUACUGGUAACGGUAGCUAAUACCGCAUACCAUCAGAUGUGCCCAGAUGGGAUUAGCUUGUUGGUGGGGUAACGGCUCACCAAGGCGACGAUCCCUAGCUGGUCUGAGAGGUGGACCAGCCACGCUGGAAAUGAGACACGGUCCAGACUCCAAUGGGAGGCAGAAGUGGGGAAUAUUGAACAAAGGGCGCAAGCCGGAUGCAGCCAUGCCGCGUAUAUGAAGAAGGCCUUCGGGUUGUAAAGUACUUCCAGCGGGGAGGCGUUACCCGCAGAAGAAGCACCGGCUAACUCCGUGCCAGCAGCCGCGGUAAUUC